GAUUUAAAUAUACCUGUUACCGUGGGUAAAAGCAGCUAUAUCUUCAUUCGUUUAUUUGAGAGACUUAUUACGUGCGGCUUUGGUUUAACAGAAUUAAUGUCCUUAGGUACUUUAUAAUAAAAACUAUAUACUGUAAUUGAAGGGCAGUGCGUUUACCAUAAUGAGUGUUUAGUACAGAAUAUUCUCUUGUGUAAACUGUAGGAAUUUCAAAGUUGAUCUACGGCUAGACACACGAAGGCAGUUUGUGUAAUUCAAAAUUCCAAUCAGAACCUAAGAGAUUUCUUUCCAUUUCCAGGUGUGGUUCCAAAACCGGCGUGCGAAAUUCCGCAAGCAGGAGCGCCUUGCUCAGCAGAAGGCAGGCGAGGCACCCGUGAAGGCGGAAGGCAAGCGAGACAAGCCGACGUCACCGGCUGCCUCGCCUCACCCACCAUCUGCGCCGGCGCCGCAGCCCGCGCACCACGCGCUGCCUCAUCUCUCCCCGCCAGACCUCAAGCCUAUCACCUCGGCAGGUAGAUAUCCGAACAAAUUAUGCGAGGAGCUGAACGGCGUGGGAGGUGACGUGGGCCUGCCGCCGGUGAGCGGCAGCGGAGGCGGCAAGUGGACCGGCGGCUGCGGCCUGCUGCGCCAGCCCUCCGGGUUCCCACUCCUCGGCGUGGCGCCCCCCAACUAUCUGCUGUCCGACCACCUGGGCACGCUCGCCAAAACGAACAACCAUCUUUUCUAAUGGGCGUAACAGCGUCGCCUUGAGCCACCGUCCGUGCCGCGACGAGCCCGCGGGGAGCGCGCCGCUGUCACUCCUGCACCGCGACACACCUGCUCUCCUCCGUACCUCUUGCAUUCCCAUAACAUUCCACGUUACAUUGUGCCAAGUGAAAACUUUCUAAAGUGAUAACCUUAUCGACGAGAUACGAUAUUAAUUUCGAUUGCGCGUAAACAUUCCAAGUGCCAAUUCGUGUCCAUUAUAGUAUUAUUGUCGCAAUAAUGAACUGUCUAAAUAAUUUUUAGAUAUAUUUAUUGUAACAAAGCAGUUGAACGUACAAGUUGCCUGUUAUUAUGUACACGGGUGUUUAGUUUUAGAUAGUUUACGAUAAUGAAGUUUUGUGUGAUACGACUGUAAAUAACAUUCCCAUUGUAUACGUUUAAUAAAGGUAUACUUAUUCAAUGAAGAAUUGAAGUGAACGGAUAAUAUAAAUUAAUUUUAAAUGUUGUCCUAUAAAAGUAUGAUGUAUUUUAUUCGUCGAUGCCUAAAUGGAAUAUAAAGUGUAUUUAUCCAAAUGAAUCUUAAAAUAAUUCCGCAAACUGUAACGGUUUUGUGUCAAUGUACUUCUAGUCACCGGAACAUUAGGAUUAUGUUAAAGAAAUUAUUAUUUAUUGAUUAAGUGCAUAGAUUAAUAGUUUGAUAACAUAGCCAACAUACCGGAGUUGGCGACAAGCGAUGUAAAUAUGUAAUAAAUAAACGAUUUGUAAAUACUAGUCAAUAAUAGUGGUGUACCCGAGUGUAUGUAAUUAUUGAUGAGUUUGUGGAGGGUGUUUUAAUAAAGCAAACAAUAAAUCGUC
rnacentral:misc_RNA from 1 species